rnacentral:rRNA from 1 species
UGAGGAAUAUUGCGCAAUGGGGGCAACCCUGACGCAGCGACGCCGCGCGAGCGAGGAAGGCCUUCGGGUCGUAAAGCUCUGUCAAAGGGAAAGAAAUGCAUAAUGGCUAAUACCUGUUAUGUUUGACGGUACCCUUAAAGGAAGCACCUGCUAACUCCGUGCCAGCAGCCGCGGUAAUACGGAGGGUGCAAGCGCUGUUCGGAAUUACUGGGCGUAAAGGGCGCGUAGGCGGUUUGAUAAGUCAGAUGUGAAAGCCCACGGCUUAACUGUGGAAGUGCAUUUGAAACUGUCAGACUUGAGUACCAGAGGGGAAAGUGGAAUUCCCGGUGUAGAGGUGAAAUUCGUAGAUAUCGGGAGGAAAACCGGUGACGAAGGCGACUUUCUGGCUGGAUACUGACGCUGAGGCGCGAAAGCGUGGGGAGCAAACA